GCUGACGCCAUCCGCGCCGCCAGAAGCCGGCGGAGCGCUCUGCGGCACACGUGUUCCCGGUGGGCGCUUUAACUCCGAGCGGGGCUUGCUAUUGGCCAUCGGGAUGAUUGACGGCUCGGCAGCCAACCAGAUAUCGCUAUUCUCCCCGCGUAGCCAAUGAGAGGCAGGGGGCGGGCGGCGGCGCCAAGCGUGGGGCUCGGUUGAAUGCGGCGGGCCGGCGGCUGCGGGCGAAUAGCAUUUUAGAAUGCCGAAAAUGAUUGUGGAAAAAAAAGAAAAGAAGGCAGAAAAAAGAAAAAAGAUGAAGAAACAUGUGGCCCAAAAGGAUGAGCUGGAAUUGGAAACAAAACCGAAGAAGAAGAAGCAAAAGCUGCAGCUUUCAAACUUUGAGCUGCCUCAAAGCUUACUGGAACAGCAGUGCUGCCAGGUCAGCUGUAGGUAAGGAACAACCUGUGGUUCUUUGUUUCCCAGGGCUGUUUGAGUUCUGCUUACUGUGGCAAAGGAUCUUGUCAUUUAUGGGCAGAUCUCGGUGCUGCAGCGCUGCUUGCAGAGCCGCUGGCUUUCUGCAGAGCAGUAGGAAAUUCUUUCAGAACAGAACAUCUAUUAGGCAAAAUUCAAAAUUCAUAAUCCAUAGAAAACAAUGUUAAUUUCCUGUUCCUUCCCAAUUUAGUCUAGUGAGCGUUGUAACUUCAAGGAAAAUUGCAAUGACUAAGGGAAGAUCAAUCUUUAUAAAUCAAAUCCCCUGUUCAUGGUUGAAGGGUACUUUAGGUAAUGCUCAUACAGCCAGUGGGUGUUUCCUUGUACUUCCUUGUUAUCUCCAGCACUGCAAGUGGUUGGAGGAGGAGGAAUCAACAUUUUCCUCAGAUAAAGGCAGAAUCAGUGGGAAAGGAAUUUAAUUUCUGAGAUUCCAUACAGAUACUGCAAACAAUAGCAAAUAAACAAGUAGCUCAUAGUGUUUCUUUCAUCAAAGUGUGCAGGUGCCCAAACAGUAAGAUCUGUUUACUAAAUGGAAAAAGGCAAAAUUUGUGAAGAAAGGGUUUUUCUGUUUGGCUGUUUGGAGGUUAUCAUAAAGAGCAAUAUAGAAUCCUUAAGCUGCAAAGCAAACCACAAAAA